rnacentral:rRNA from 1 species
AUUGAACGCUGGCGGCAGGCCUAACACAUGCAAGUCGAGCGAGCGGCGGACGGGUGAGUAAUGUAUGGGGACUGCCCGAUAGAGGGGGAUAACUACUGGAAACGGGAGCUAAUACAGCAUACUAUCGGAUAACCCAUAUGGGAUUAGCUAGUAGGGGGGGUAAUGGCUCACCUAGGCGACGAUCCCUAGCUGGUCUGUGAGGAUGAUCAGCCACACUGGGACUGAGACACGGCCCAGACUCCUACGGAGGCAGCAGUGGGGAAUAUUGCACAAUGGGCGCAAGCCUGAUGCAGCCAUGCCGCGUGUAUGAAGAAGGCCCUCGGGUUGUAAAGUACUUUCAGUCGGGAGGCGUUACCGACAGAAGAAGCACCGGCUAACUCCGUGCCAGCAGCCGCGGUAAUAC